rfam:Felis catus isolate Cinnamon breed Abyssinian chromosome A1, whole genome shotgun sequence.
GGAUGUGAGGGUGAUCUGGCUGUGACAUCCGUCACCUCAUUGAUUGCCAGGGUUGAUAUGGCUGAUCUGGCUCGCUAGGCAGGUGUCCCCUUUCUACCUCACUGCUCCCUGUACGUCCCUUCCCCUCCCAAAGCUGCACGCGGUGGAAGAGGAUGACCUUCCCCCAUAGAGAAGGACUGUUCCUCUGUCAAGUGCAUACAGGUCACUGUGCUCUCCUGCUAGAACCUUCAAACAAGCUCUCAAGGGCCAUUUGUAGGAGAACGUAGGGUAGUUGAGCCUGCAAGACUCCAGACACAUCCAAAUGAGCCACUGCAUGUGGCAGUCUGCCUUGAAGA